rnacentral:rRNA from 1 species
UCUACGGGAGGCAGCAGUGAGGAAUAUUGGUCAAUGGGCGGGAGCCUGAACCAGCCAAGCCGCGUGAGGGAAGAAGGUCCAGCGUAUCGUAAACCUCUUUUUUCAGGGAACAAAGGCGGGGAAUAGUCCCUGGAUGAGGGUACCUGAAGAAAAAGCAUCGGCUAAAUCCGUCACAGCAGCCGCGGUAAUACGGGGGAUGCGAGCGUUGUCCGGAUUUAUGGGGUUUAAAGGGUGCGCAGGCGGCCUGUUAAGUCAGCGGUAAAAGCACGGGGCUCAACCCCGGCGAGACGUGGAAACUGGCGGGCUGGAGUGGGAGAGAGGUACGCGGAAUUCGCGGUGUAGCGGUGAAAUGCUUAGAGAUCGCGCAGAACCCCGGUGGCGAAGGCAGCUUACCGGCUCCACACUGACGCUGAGGCACGAAAGCGUGGGUAUCGAACAGGAUUAGAUACCCUGGUAGUC